rnacentral:misc_RNA from 1 species
UCAUUGGCACUGACCGGAAGUUCAGAGUACUGAGUCCAGCUGAGAUUGAUGAUUACUUGGCGGAAGUUGAGUAAAUUACUUUAAUGGAGAUUGCAAUAUACAUGACAACUACUCUUCAAGUGUUGUUUGCUCAUUAAAGUUAAUGAUUUUUAUGUUGGUUAAGAAAAUUAUUGUGAUGCUUUGGAUGCUAAACCUCUUGAUGAAGACAUUACUUGUGG